UCCCUCUUAGCUCAGUGGUAGAGCGCUUCACUAGUAUCCUUAAAUACCUUGCGUGCUAUGAAGAGGUCAGUCGUUCAAGUCGGCUAGAGGGAA